rnacentral:rRNA from 1 species
AUUGAACGCUGGCGGCAGGCCUAACACAUGCAAGUCGAGCGGAGCGGCGGACGGGCGAGUAAUAACUAGGUAUCUGCCUGGUAGUGGGGGAUAACGUUCGGAAACGGACGCUAACACCGCAUACUCUCUGACGAGCCUAGGUCGGAUUAGCUAGUUGGUGAGGGAAUGGCUCACCAAGGCUACGAUCCGUAACUGGUCUGAGAGGAUGAUCAGUCACACUGGAACUGAGACACGGCCCAGACUCCGACGGGAGGCAGCAGUGGGGAAUAUUGGACAAUGGGCGAAAGCCUGAUCCAGCCAUGCCGCGUGUGUGAAGAAGGUCUUCGGGUUGUAAAGUACUUUAAGUUGGGAGGCGUUACCGACAGAAUAAGCACCGGCUAACUCCGUGCCAGCCGCCGCGGUAAUUC